rnacentral:tRNA from 1 species
GGACCCUUAGCUCAGUCGGCAGAGCAGACGGAUCAUAACCGUCCGGUCGCAGGUUCGAGCCCUGCAGGGUCCA